GCAGGUCCGGCGCGAUGGCGUCGCGCUGCGCCUCGGUGAGGCGCAGGCUCGGACCGGCGACGCUGAGAUUGCCGAUCGCCCGGCCGGUCUGCG
rnacentral:tRNA from 1 species